AGGACUAACGCUGGCGGCGUGCCUAACACAUGCAAGUCGAACGGGGUAGCAAUACCCAGUGGCAGACGGGUGAGUAACACGUGGUCAACCUACCUCUAUGUGGGGGAUAACUAGCCGAAAGGUUAGCUAAUACCGCAUACGAUCGCUUUGGGGCAUCCCUAGGCGAUGAAAGGAGCAAUCCGCAUAGAGAGGGGACUGCGUCCCAUUAGUUAGUUGGUGGGGUAACGGCCUACCAAGACUCCGAUGGGUAGCUGGCUUGAGAGAGCGACCAGCCACACUGGAACUGAGACACGGUCCAGACUCCUAUGGAGGCAGCAGUGAGGAAUUUUCCGCAAUGGGCGAAAGCCUGACGGAGCGACGCCGCGUGUGGGAAGAAGGCCUUCGGGUCGUAAACCACUGUCGAAGGGGACGAUAAUGACGGUACCCUUGGAGGAAGCCCCGGCUAACUACGUGCCAGCAGCCGC
rnacentral:rRNA from 1 species